ACGUAGGUGGCAAGCGUUGUCCGGAAUCACUGGGCGUAAAGGGCGCGUAGGCGGCCGAGCAAGGUCGCGGUGAAAGCCCGGGGCUCAACCCCGGGUCGGCCGUGGCAACUACUCGGCUUGAGCACUGUAGGGGCGGGUGGAAUUCCGGGUGUAGCGGUGGAAUGCGUAGAGAUCCGGAAGAACACCGGUGGCGAAGGCGGCCCGCUGGGCAGGAAGACGGAGCAAUCCGUCGGCUGACGCUGAGGCGCGACAGCGUGGGGAGCAAACAGGA
rnacentral:rRNA from 1 species